rnacentral:rRNA from 1 species
GACGAACGCUGGCGGCGUGCCUAAUACAUGCAAGUAGAACGCUGAAGGAGGAGCUUGCCCUUCUGGAUGAGUUGCGAACGGGUGAGUAACGCGUAGGUAACCUGCCUGUUAGCGGGGGAGAACUAUUGGAAACGAUAGCUAAUACCGCAUAACAGUUGAUGUUGCAUGACAUUUGCUUAAAAGGUGCAAUUGUACCACUACCAGAUGGUCCUGCGUUGUAUUAGCUAGUUGGUGGGGUAACGGCUCACCAACGCGACGAUACAUAGCCGACCUGAGAGGGGGGUCGGCCAAACUGGGACUGGGACCCGGCCCAGACUCCUACGGGAGGGAGCAAUAGGGGAACUUUGGGAAGGGGGGGAAGUCUGACCGGGGAACGGCGGGUGAGUGGAGAAAGUUCUCGGAUCGUAAAGCUCUGUUGUAAGGGAAGAAAGAGUGUGAGAGUGAAAAAUUCACGCUGUGACGGUACCUAACCAGAAAGGGACGGCUAACUACGUG